AUCAACAUAUAUUGAAUGCUAGCUGGAUGCACCUGGGGCCUUGGCGUUGAGGGUAUGAGGAUGUGGACACAGUCCUGACCCUGCAGAGGUGGCCACCCUCAUGGAGAAGGCAGCUCUGCAGGUGGUCCUAUGGACACAGAACUGCUAGACACUUCUUCAUUCCCUCCACUACCGUCCAACCCCUGGGUCCUCCCAAAGCUGAGUGAUUUGGAUGCCCAGGUAAGGAUAAAGCGGGAUCAGGAUUUUGAAUUUGGCAUUGCAGAGACAGAGGAGGCAGUGGAGAGUCACCCACUGUGGCUUGGAGUAAAGAGUGUGUGUAAAUAAUGUUAGAGGAAGGAGGGAGCCUUUGGGGCACGUCCUAGCCUAUGGGAACGAGCAGAGUGUUCUGCAUCUCUGAGUGUUUGCCUAGCAGUUCCUGCCACAAAAAUGCCCUUCUUUCCUCCUUGACCUGGCGAGGAGGACUCCAUGUGGGGGAGUUUAAGGUGAAUUAGAGAAGGGACAGGCUUAGAAAGGCUGGCUGGGCUCAGUCAUUUGGGGACUUGUUGGCCAUAUUAAGGAUUUGGACUUAAUUCUUUUUUUUUUUAAUCCACGAGGAAAUUUAUUUUAUUAUUAUUUUUUAAAUUGGAGGAUAAUUGCUUUACAAUGUUGCACUGGUUUCUGCCGUACAACAAUGCGACUCAGUCAUGAGAAUAUAUGUAUCCCCUCUCUUGAGCCUCCCUACCAUCCCCCCACACCCUACCAUCCCACCCUCUAGGGCAUCCCAGAGUGCAGGCUGGGCUCCUCGUGUUACAGAGCAGCUUCCCACAAGCUAUUUUGCACAUAGUAGCGUAUACAUGUCAUUAUUCUGAGGGCAGUAGGGCAUCUGUGAAGGGCUUUAAGCUGGCGAGUACCAGGAUUGUGGGCUGAAGGUCUCCACCAUCAAGCGCUCCGGCUGCUGUGUUUGGGGCGGGCUUGGGAGGAAUGAGACCGGAGGCAGAACAGAGCUGAGGUCUGAGCUCAGCUUGCUGCAGGGGGAUUCAGAGAAGCAACAGGUUCAGCCCAUCUCAGACAGGUGAGGCCAUCCUUUACCUGGGACCCUCCUGAAUCUGAGAAUCUAGAGUCAGGGACGAGGGGAGGAGCUGAGAGCCUUGGGGAACCCCAGUGCUCUGAAAUGCCCGUGUCCAACCACAGGGCCCCAGGCUACCACGGGGACCGUGGCUUUUGUCCUGCAGAGAAGCACUUUGCUGGAAGCAAGAAGUGAAAGCUGGGGCUAUGCCUCAAUCCCGUUAGAUGUCCAUUGAUUAUGUCCAUGACCCUAACAGCCUCCUGCCCCUGAUGUGCUGUGUGACCUCUCCCCGGGGCUGACUCUGGGUGCCUGUGGGUGGGGGGUCACCUUACUUUGCCAUCCCAGUUGCUCAGCCUGGGACCACACAUAUGAUAGAAACACAAACAACCAUGGUGGGUGCUUGGCACACAUCGCUUAGUUGUGUGUGUGUGUGUGUGUGUGAGUUUUCAUGAAAAGAAACAGCUGUCUGGCAGAACCCACUUAGGCAAAGCAAGAUGCUGCCCUAGCAUCCCAGGCACUGAGAUCUACCUGCCAAUGGUCUGGACCAUGUGUCGGUGGUUUUGCCCAAGGAUGAGGCAGCUGGCACUCCUUGCUGUGUUGGCAUCCAGGUGUGUAUGAUAUUGGCGUGGCAUCAAGGCUGGGGUGGUUUGUGAGUCUAAGACUUGGAAGUAGCAGAGGAAGGAAAAGAAGAGACCUCUUGAGCAGGCCAGCCCUGUACUAGGGGUUCUAACAUCCAUAAAAGCACUUAAUUCUUACUCAGCUCAGUCUGGGUGAAUAACGACCCCAGUGGGGAGAAAGAUCUGCAGAGGAGGAGUGACUAGUUCAUGGUCACCAUGGUGGUAAAGGGAGGUAUAAGGAAUGUGAGCAGGUCGGUGCAAGGCCUCACCUGGAAGGCCUUUUUUAAAUUUUAUAUUGGAGUAUAGUUGAUUUACAAUGUUGUGUGAGUUUCAGUGUACAGCAAAGUGAUUCAGUUACACAUAUAUUCAUCCUUUUACAGGUUCUUUUCUCAUAAAGGUUAUUGCAGAAUAUUGAGUGGAGUUCCUCGAGCUAUACAGGAAACCCAGGAGGCCACAGUUUUUCUACAGACAAGAGGCAGGCAGAGGACCUAGAUCAAGGGCUCUUCUGGGAAGUCCCCAUAGGAUCCUGCUCCGCUACACUUUCUGUCAAGACAUGCAAAUAUAAAUAACUCAAAUGCAACUAAAAAACUGUAAGUAUUUUUCAAGUGGAACCUCACGACUCAACAACUUUGUUCUACAAAAACAUGCAUUAUCCAAUAAUACUGCUGCACCCCAAAGCGGGACUUUACAAAGGACCUUACAGGUGGCAGUGUUGCUGAGUUCAAGCUUGUAAUAUUUGCUGCAGGACAGGCCAAAAAAUCCAGAGACAAGUUGCUGGAGUAAGGAACAGCAACUUUAUCCAGAAAGCCAGCAAGACGGAGAAGAUGGUAGCGUCCCAAAACACCAGCUUGCCCUCAGUUAGAAUUCUGGCUUCUUUUAUACUAAAAGGGGAGGGGGUAAUUUCAAACAUUUUGUGGUUCUGGUCAAACUCCUGAGGGGGUAUACUAAUUUCUUCUUUCCUGCAGCCAUUCACAGGUGAUGCUAAACAAAGGUAUUUUAGCAUAACACUCAUCUGGGAGGCAGGUUUCCCAGAAAUGGGCCAUUAUGUAUAAUUUAAGCUUAUAGGCAACAUCCCUUUAGUAUUAACCUGUAAUAGAAUGCAAAGAUUCUUCCCUAUUACAGUAGUUUGCUGACCCCUGCUUGAGUGCAGCACUAAUAGAACUUUUUGCUAAAAGCAACCAUAGGCAGUACACAAAUGAAUAAUAAGCACGGCUGUGUUCCAAUAAAACUUUAUUUAAAAAGAAAGCAGGCAGUGGGCCACGUUUGGCCCACAGGCUGUAGUUUGAGCAGUGCUAGUAGAUUUUUCUGUGUUAAUGAAAAUGGUCUAUAUCUGUGCUGUCCAAUAUGGCAGCCACUAACCACAUAAAGCCCCUGAGCACUUGAAAUGUGGUUAGUGUGACUAAAGACUCAGUUUCUAAAUUCUGUAUUUAAAUGACUAGAGGUACCCUGCCCAACAGCAAGGAGAGAGAAGGCUCCAGUGGAGGGCCACUCCUCAGCCGCCUCCCUACACAGGGUGAAGCCUCUUUGAGCUUCCUUGUGGAUAAGAAGGGGAUAAAACAGUAGCUACAUCACCAGGCUUUCCCCAUGGCACUGACACUGAAACUGGACCUGAGCCAGGAGUGAAUAUGUGGUCAAGAUCCCCCAGCUCCCUGGGCUGAUGGGGGCAGAUGGGAAAGCAGCCCCUCCUUUCCAUUCAGCACUGAAGUUCCUGCAAAGGAGGGUGGGAGAUGAUGCUGUCACUCUCCACGAAGUCCCUCCUCUGAGAAGCCAGUCAUCUGUGGCCCUGAGCCACCCCUCCCCUCAACCUCCCAUCAGCCAGCAGCCCUGUCUUACGUGUCCAGGUGCCAUUUGAGAAUUCAGGCUUGUGGAAAAGACCCAGGAGACAAACCACACCCCCACCGUGUGAAAAGCAUCGCCUCAGCGGCUGUCUCAGGGGGCCUUGGCAACUGGCCGUGGGCAGGAAGUGCCUCUUGGCUAGAGAAGUCAUUUAUGGAGCUAUUCAGGGAGGUGAUACAGGGAAGGGCCUUCCAGGAAGAGGGAACGGCAGGUGCAAAGGCACGGUGGUGGGACCAGAGUCAGAGUCUUACUGGGUGGUGGGUUUGGCUCCUGAAGAAAUAGAGGGAUCAAUUUCCAGGCAGAGGGUGACAAGCAAAACACAGAGAGCCCUGGCUUCAACAGGGGCAGGGACAGUCCAGUGACAAGGGCAGGUGAUGGUCCUACUCGCCAGCUUGGUUACCUUGGGAGUGGAGUUUUUUUUUUUUUAAUAUUUAUUUGACUGU